rfam:Sorghum bicolor cultivar BTx623 chromosome 3, whole genome shotgun sequence.
UGGCUACAAAAUAACUUAUUUUGUAGCCACUUUGAGUUACGAUAAUUACCAUAUUAAUUUACAAGAAUAUAGUAACUCCUUACUAACAUUACGGUAAAUAUCCUCAUGUGUUAUAGUAACCCAAUUAUCGUAAAUAUGUAUACAUAUUAUCGUAAAUUAGUAUAUAAAAUUAUCGUAAAUGGAGAUGGCUACAGAAUAACAUAUUUUAUAGCUA